CAUACAAAAGACAAGACUGAUUAACCAUCUGUAUCCACUGUACAUAAUUCACUGUACUUAUCUGAAGAUAGAAGUCAUGGAAUAGCCACGGACAAAACUUAAUGGAAAUUAACGCAGCUGUACGACAGACAUGCAGUAUUCCACUGCAUCGCAGCGAUGUAGGAAGCCUGGCCAGUGUAAUAGGCAGAUCACAUCAGCUUGGAGUGACUCAACUCAACCACCGCUUAAUUUUAGAAGCCAUUUUGUAUAAUGCGCAACAGACAUUUUUGUGCCUGUGCCCUCCACCACAAGACCUGUAAGUGACCUGUGCAGAUGAAUGGCUGAAUCAGCGAGGGGAACUGGGCCGGGCUGCUGCUGUGCUGGAGUCUGUGGGGUGAUGGCUUUUCCAAAAACCCCACCGAUGACGGACGAAGGGUCUCCAGUGGACCCCAGGCUUUCAGGAAAACAACAAUGAAGAUUCCCUCCCGAUGAGCGCUCUGGCACGUCUCUGAGGCCAC